rnacentral:rRNA from 1 species
GAUGAACGCUGGCGGCGUGCCUAAUACAUGCAAGUCGAGCGAACAGACGAGGAGCUUACUCCUCUGACGUUAGCGGCGGACGGGUGAGUAACACGUGGAUAACCUACCUAUAAGACUGGGAUAACUUCGUGAAACCGGAGCUAAUACCGGAUAACAUGUUGAACCGCAUGGUUCAACAGUGAAAGACGGUCUUGCUGUCACUUAUAGAUGGAUCCGCGUCGCAUUAGCUAGUUGGUAAGGUAACGGCUUACCAAGGCAACGAUGCGUAGCCGACCUGAGAGGGGGAUCGGCCACACUGGAACUGAGACACGGUCCAGACUCCUACGGGAGGCAGCAGUAGGGAAUCUUCCGCAAUGGGCGAAAGCCUGACGGAGCAACGCCGCGUGAGUGAAGAAGGUCUUCGGAUCGUAAAACUCUGUUAUUAGGGAAGAACAAAUGUGUAAGUAACUAUGCACGUCUUGACGGUACCUAAUCAGAAAGCCACGGCUAACUACGUG